AGCUUUGCGCAGUGGCAGUAUCAUAGCUAAUGGGGUUUAUCCAAGGCGUGAUCAUUGCUAAUUGAAAAAUGACGUUAGCUUUGUAUGAAAAAUUGUAAUUUUAGAAAGGAAACUAGAUUC
rnacentral:snRNA from 1 species